rnacentral:rRNA from 1 species
UACGUAGGGACCAAGCGUUGUUCGGAUUUACUGGGCGUAAAGGGCGCGUAGGCGGCAAUUCAAGUCAGCUGUGAAAUCUCCGGGCUUAACUCAGAACGGUCAGCUGAUACUGCUUUGCUAGAGUGCAGAAGGGGCAAUCGGAAUUCUUGGUGUAGCGGUGAAAUGCGUAGAUAUCAAGAGGAACACCUGAGGUGAAGACGGGUUGCUGGGCUGACACUGACGCUGAGUGCGCGAAAGCUAGGGUAGCAAACGGG